rnacentral:rRNA from 1 species
AUUGAACGCUGGCGGCAGGCCUAACACAUGCAAGUCGAGCGAGCGGCGGACGGGUGAGUAAUGUCUGGGAAACUGCCUGAUGGAGGGGGAUAACUACUGGAAACGGUAGCUAAUACCGCGUACCAUCGGAUGAGCCCAAAUGGGAUUAGGUAGUUGGUGGGGUAAAGGCUCACCAAGCCGACGAUCUCUAGCUGGUCUGAGAGGAUGACCAGCCACACUGGGACUGAGACACGGCCCAGACUCCUACGGGAGGCAGCAGUGGGGAAUAUUGCACAAUGGGGGCAACCCUGACGCAGCCAUGCCGCGUGAAUGAAGAAGGCCUUAGGGUUGUAAAGCACUUUCAGCGAGGAGGCGUUACUCGCAGAAGAAGCACCGGCUAACUCCGUGCCAGCCGCCGCGGUAAUUC